rnacentral:rRNA from 1 species
AUACGUAGGUGACAAGCGUUAUCCGGAUUUACUGGGCGUAAAGGGCGUGUAGGCGGUCUUGCAAGUCAGAAGUGAAAUUCCUGAGCUCAACUCGGGCGCUGCUUCUGAAACUGCAGGCCUUGAGUGCUGGAGGGGAUAGCGGAAUUCCUAGUGGAGCGGUAAAAUGCGCAGAUAUUAGGAAGAACACCGGUGGCGAAGGCGGCUAUCUGGACAGUAACUGGCGCUGAGGCGCGAACGCCUGGGGAGCAAACAGGAUUAGAUCCCCUGGUAGUCCACGCCAUAAACGAUGAAUACGAGGUGGAGGGGGUAUCGACUCCCUCUGCGCCGCAGUUAACACAAUAAGUAUUCCGCCUGGGGAGUACGGCCGCAAGGUUGAAGCUCAAAUGAAUUGACGGGG